AUUGAACGCUGGCGGAAUGCUUUACACAUGCAAGUCGAACGGUAGAGGGGGCAACCCCUCGAGAGUGGCGAACGGGUGAGUAAUAUAUCGGAACGUGCCCAUUCGUGGGGGAUAACGUAGCGAAAGUUACGCUAAUACCGCAUACGAUCUCAGGAUGAGAGCGGGGGAUCGCAAGACCUCGCGCGAGUGGAGCGGCCGAUAUCAGAUUAGGUAGUUGGUGGGGUAAAGGCUCACCAAGCCAACGAUCUGUAGCUGGUAUGAGAGGACGACCAGCCACACUGGAACUGAGACACGGUCCAGACUCCGACGGGAGGCAGCAGUGGGGAAUUUUGGACAAUGGACGCAAGUCUGAUCCAGCCAUUCCGCGUGCAGGAUGAAGGCCCUCGGGUUGUAAACUGCUUUUGUACGGAACGAAAAGGUCUCUCUUAAUACGGGGGGCUCAUGACGGUACCGUAAGAAUAAGCACCGGCUAACUACGUGCCAGCCGCCGCCGUAA
rnacentral:rRNA from 1 species